rnacentral:rRNA from 1 species
GACGAACGCUGGCGGCGUGCUUAACACAUGCAAGUCGAACGAAGUGGCGAACGGGUGAGUAACGCGUAAUCAACCUGCCCUUCAGAGGGGGACAACAGUUGGAAACGACUGCUAAUACCGCAUACUGAAGGAGGGGAUUGCGUCUGAUUAGCUAGUUGGAGGGGUAACGGCCCACCAAGGCGAUGAUCAGUCGCCGGUCUUGGAGGAUGGACGGCCACAUUGGGACUGGGAAACGGCCCAGACUCCUACGGGAGGCAGCAAUGGGGAAUCUUCCGCAAUGGAGGAAAGUCCGACGGAGCAAAGCCGCGUGAGUGAUGACAGGCUUCGGGUUGGAAAGCUCUGUUAAUCGGGACGCGGUACCGGAAUAGAAAGCCACGGCUAACUACGUGCCAGCAGCCGCGGUAAUAC